rnacentral:rRNA from 1 species
AUUGAACGCUGGCGGAAUGCUUUACACAUGCAAGUCGAACGGUAGAGGGGGCAACCCCUCGAGAGUGGCGAACGGGUGAGUAAUAUAUCGGAACGUGCCCAGUCGUGGGGGAUAACGUAGCGAAAGUUACGCUAAUACCGCAUACGAUCUACGGAUGAAAGCGGGGGAUCGCAAGACCUCGCGCGAUUGGAGCGGCCGAUAUCAGAUUAGGUAGUUGGUGAGGUAAAGGCUCACCAAGCCAACGAUCUGUAGCUGGUCUGAGAGGACGACCAGCCACACUGGAACUGAGACACGGUCCAGACUCCUACGGGAGGCAGCAGUGGGGAAUUUUGGACAAUGGACGCAAGUCUGAUCCAGCCAUUCCGCGUGCAGGAUGAAGGCCCUCGGGUUGUAAACUGCUUUUGUACGGAACGAAAAGGUCUCUCUUAAUACGGGGGGCUCAUGACGGUACCGUAAG